rfam:Gossypium hirsutum cultivar TM-1 chromosome 13, whole genome shotgun sequence
GGGUGUGAUCAUACCAACAUUAAUACACUAGAUUCCUUUAGAAAUAUGCAGUUAAGCAUGCUUGGGUGAAAGUAGUACGAGACUGGGUGACCUUUUAGAAAGUCCUUGUGUUGCACCCC